rnacentral:rRNA from 1 species
GCCGACAGCUAGCUCUCUGCAACAUGAUCGGCCACUGAAGCUAAGCAGGGCUGCGCCCGGUCAGUACCUGGAUGGGAGACCACAUGGGAAAGCUAGGUUGCUGCCGGAA